UUAUGAUUGCUGAGAAAAAUCAGAACACUCUUCGUGGACCGUUUCGGCAGCAGCAAAAUCCUUUUAGCUGAAUGUUUCUCAUGCAAAGCUCUCAAACAGCAGAAACGCGAUGUUAAUGGUGAUAUUUGAUAAGAAGGCACUUUUUGAGAGCCGUAAAAAAGCCAAGCCCUCGAGGCCGACCCUAAUUUGCCAGAAAAAAAAAACCUUUUUACGUGAAUGUCACCGUGUAGGUGUAAUAUUGCUGUGAUACUUGCAGUUACCCAAGUUUACGUCAAAAAAGGUUCACGGAAGAACGGCAGACGAUGGCUCGCGCCAGGUGCAUGCGUCAUGCGCCGGACAGGCCACCGAAGCCAUGGAGCGAAGCCGGUUGCGCGUGUGAAGUUCGCCUGUUCGGCGACCCAUCCCUUUUUGACGUAGCUUGUUUGUUGGCCUCCCGUCAUAUUCUUGCAUUGCUUCUGCACUUCGACACGGCACCACUGCACUUUUGGACCGAGGCAAGCGAACGUCUUCCGGUGGAGCUUUGUACGGGAACUACUGAUGCUUACCAGGUGCCAGAACGUUGGAUAAAUGCAGGAAGAUCCCAGAACGGGCAUUUAUACAGAGCAAAAUGAAAUUUGCUCAUUUGACAA